UCUCCGGUAGCUCAACCAGGUAGAGCCGUCGUCUUAUAAGCGACAGGUUGGAAGUUCAAAUCUCCCCCGGAGGA
rnacentral:tRNA from 1 species